rnacentral:rRNA from 1 species
AACGAACGCUGGCGGCGUGCCUAAUACAUGCAAGUCGAACGAGGGGCGGACGGGUGAGUAACACGUGCUAACCUACCCAUCAGAGGGGGAUAACACGUGGAAACUGGUGCUAAUACCGCAUACGGAUGGAUCGACCCGCGGGGCAUUAGCUAGUGGGUGGGGUAACGGCUCACCAAGGCCACGAUGCCUAGCUGACCUGAGAGGGUGAUCGGCCACACUGGAACUGAGACACGGUCCAGACUCCUACGGGAGGCAGCAGUGGGGAAUAUUGCACAAUGGGCGCAAGCCUGAUACAGCCAUGCCGCGUGUGUGAAGAAGGCCUUCGGGUUGUAAAGCACUUUCAGCGGGGAGGCGUUACCCGCAGAAGAAGCACCGGCUAACUCCGUGCCAGCAGCCGCGGUAAUUC